rnacentral:rRNA from 1 species
CGCGGCCUAUCAGCUUGUUGGUGGGGUAAUGGCCUACCAAGGCGUCGACGGGUAGCCGGCCUGAGAGGGUGUACGGCCACAUUGGGACUGAGAUACGGCCCAGACUCCUACGGGAGGCAGCAGUGGGGAAUAUUGCACAAUGGGCGCAAGCCUGAUGCAGCGACGCCGCGUGGGGGAUGACGGCCUUCGGGUUGUAAACUCCUUUCGCCCACGACGAAGCCCUUCGGGGUGACGGUAGUGGGAUAAGAAGCAUCGGCCAACUACGUGCCAGCAGCCGCGGUAAUACGUAGGGUGCGAGCGUUGUCCGGAAUUACUGGGCGUAAAGAGUUCGUAGGCGGUUUGUCACGUCGUGUGUGAAAUCCCACAGCUUAACUGUGGGCUUGCAGGCGAUACGGGCAGACUUGAGUACUGCAGGGGAGACUGGAAUUCCUGGUGUAGCGGUGAAAUGCGCAGAUAUCAGGAGGAACACCGGUGGCGAAGGCGGGUCUCUGGGCAGUAACUGACGCUGAGGAACGAAAGCGUGGGGAGCGAACAGGAUUAGAUACCCUGGUAGUCCACGCCGUAAACGGUGGGUACUAGUUGUGGGUCCCUUCCACGGGAUCCGUGACGCAGCUAACGCAUUAAGUACCCCGCCUGGGGAGUACGG